rnacentral:rRNA from 1 species
UAGGGAAUCUUCGGCAAUGGGGGCAACCCUGACCGAGCAACGCCGCGUGAGUGAAGAAGGUUUUCGGAUCGUAAAGCUCUGUUGUAAGAGAAGAACGUGUGUGAGAGUGGAAAGUUCACACAGUGACGGUAACUUACCAGAAAGGGACGGCUAACUACGUGCCAGCAGCCGCGGUAAUACGUAGGUCCCGAGCGUUGUCCGGAUUUAUUGGGCGUAAAGCGAGCGCAGGCGGUUUAAUAAGUGUGAAGUUAAAGGCAGUGGGUUAACCAUUGUUCGCUUUGGAAAAUGUUAAACUGGAGUGCAGAAGGGGAGAGUGGAAUUCCAUGUGUAGCGGUGAAAAGCGUAGAUAUAUGGAGGAGCACCGGUGGCGAAAGCGGCUCUCUGGUCUGUAACUGACGCUGAGGCUCGAAAGCGUGGGGAGCAAACAGG